CACUCCUGCGGGAGGCAGCAGUGGGGAAUAUUGCACAAUGGGCGCAAGCCUGAUGCAGCCAUGCCGCGUGUAUGAAGAAGGCCUUCGGGUUGUAAAGUACUUUCAGCGGGGAGGAAGGCGAUAAGGUUAAUAACCUUGUCGAUUGACGUUACCCGCAGAAGAAGCACCGGCUAACUCCGUGCCAGCAGCCGCGGUAAUACGGAGGGUGCAAGCGUUAAUCGGAAUUACUGGGCGUAAAGCGCACGCAGGCGGUCUGUCAAGUCGGAUGUGAAAUCCCCGGGCUCAACCUGGGAACUGCAUUCGAAACUGGCAGGCUAGAGUCUUGUAGAGGGGGGUAGAAUUCCAGGUGUAGCGGUGAAAUGCGUAGAGAUCUGGAGGAAUACCGGUGGCGAAGGCGGCCCCCUGGACAAAGACUGACGCUCAGGUGCGAAAGCGUGGGGAGCAAACAGGAUUAGAAACCCCUGUAGUCCCAUGA
rnacentral:rRNA from 1 species